CCCUUAGAUGUCCUGGGCCGCACGCGCGUUACACUGAUGCAUUCAACGAGCCUAUAACCUUGGCCGAGAGGCCUGGGCAAUCUUGUUAACGUGCAUCGUGAUAGGGAUAGAUUAUUGAAAUUAUUAAUCUUGAACGAGGAAUUCCUAGUAAACGCAGAUCAUCAAUCUGCAUUGAUUACGUCCCUGCCCUUUGUACACACCGCCCGUCGCACCUACCGAUUGAAUGCUCAGGUGAGCCAUUCGGACUUUCAUCAUGCUGGUUUCCAGUUUUGAUGAAGGAAAGUCUUGCGAACCUUAUCAUUUAGAGGAAGGAGAAGUCGUAACA
rnacentral:rRNA from 1 species